CAGCGCCGAAUCCGCCGCGGCCUACAGCCCGGCCGGAACUGUGGCGUGCGGGACGUGGCCAGUCGAUCGGGAGCGUACCCGAGUCCCCCCGAGCGGGGCCCAUCCCAUAGCGGGUGCCAGGCCUCUGCAGGUACGCAUCCGACCGGCCGCUACCGUCCCCGGAGUCGGGUCGCUUGGGAAUGCAGCCCGAAGCGGGUGGUAAACUCCACCUAAGGCUAAAUACCGGCGCGAGUCCGAUAGCGGACAAGUACCGCGAGGGAAAGUUGAAAAGAA
rnacentral:rRNA from 1 species